rnacentral:rRNA from 1 species
UUGAACGCUGGCGGCAGGCCUAACACAUGCAAGUCGAACGGUAACAGAAAGCAGCUUGCUGCUUUGCUGACGAGUGGCGGACGGGUGAGUAAUGUCUGGGAAACUGCCCGAUGGAGGGGGAUAACUACUGGAAACGGUAGCUAAUACCGCAUAACGUCGCAAGACCAAAGAGGGGGACCUUCGGGCCUCUUGCCAUCGGAUGUGCCCAGAUGGGAUUAGCUAGUAGGUGGGGUAACGGCUCACCUAGGCGACGAUCCCUAGCUGGUCUGAGAGGAUGACCAGCCACACUGGAACUGAGACACGGUCCAGACUCCUACGGGAGGCAGCAGUGGGGAAUAUUGCACAAUGGGCGCAAGCCUGAUGCAGCCAUGCCGCGUGUAUGAAGAAGGCCUUCGGGUUGUAAAGUACUUUCAGCGGGGAGGAAGGGAGUAAAGUUAAUACCUUUGCUCAUUGACGUUACCCGCAGAAGAAGCACCGGCUAACUCCGUGCCAGCAGCCGCGGUAAUACGGAGGGUGCAAGCGUUAAUCGGAAUUACUGGGCGUAAAGCGCACGCAGGCGGUUUGUUAAGUCAGAUGUGAAAUCCCCGGGCUCAACCUGGGAACUGCAUCUGAUACUGGCAAGCUUGAGUCUCGUAGAGGGGGGUAGAAUUCCAGGUGUAGCGGUGAAAUGCGUAGAGAUCUGGAGGAAUACCGGUGGCGAAGGCGGCCCCCUGGACGAAGACUGACGCUCAGGUGCGAAAGCGUGGGGAGCAAACAGGAUUAGAUACCCUGGUAGUCCACGCCGUAAACGAUGAGUGCUAAGUGUUAGGGGGUUUCCGCCCCUUAGUGCUGCAGCUAACGCAUUAAGCACUCCGCCUGGGGAGUACGGUCGCAAGACUGAAACUCAAAGGAAUUGACGGGGGCCCGCACAAGCGGUGGAGCAUGUGGUUUAAUUCGAUGCAACGCGAAGAACCUUACCUGGUCUUGACAUCCACGGAAGUUUUCAGAGAUGAGAAUGUGCCUUCGGGAACCGUGAGACAGGUGCUGCAUGGCUGUCGUCAGCUCGUGUUGUGAAAUGUUGGGUUAAGUCCCGCAACGAGCGCAACCCUUAUCCUUUGUUGCCAGCGGUCCGGCCGGGAACUCAAAGGAGACUGCCAGUGAUAAACUGGAGGAAGGUGGGGAUGACGUCAAAUCAUCAUGCCCCUUAUGACCUGGGCUACACACGUGCUACAAUGGCGCAUACAAAGAGAAGCGACCUCGCGAGAGCAAGCGGACCUCAUAAAGUGCGUCGUAGUCCGGAUUGGAGUCAGCAACUCGACUCCAUGAAGUCGGAAUCGCUAGUAAUCGUGGAUCAGAAUGCCACGGUGAAUACGUUCCCGGGCCUUGUACACACCGCCCGUCACACCAUGGGAGUGGGUUGCAAAAGAAGUAGGUAGCUUAACCUUCGGGAGGGCGCUUACCACUUUGUGAUUCAUGACUGGGGUG